GCAGCGCCACGGGAAUACGUAGGGUGCAAGCGUUAAUCGGAAUUACUGGGCGUAAAGCGUGCGCAGGCGGUUUUGUAAGACAGAGGUGAAAUCCCCGGGCUCAACCUGGGAACUGCCUUUGUGACUGCAAGGCUAGAGUACGGCAGAGGGGGAUGGAAUUCCGCGUGUAGCAGUGAAAUGCGUAGAUAUGCGGAGGAACACCGAUGGCGAAGGCAAUCCCCUGGGCCUGUACUGACGCUCAUGCACGAAAGCGUGGGGAGCAAACAGGAUUAGAUACCCGCGUAGUCCCUGUCUCUUAUACA
rnacentral:rRNA from 1 species